rnacentral:rRNA from 1 species
UACGGAGGGUGCAAGCGUUAUCCGGAUUUACUGGGUUUAAAGGGUGCGUAGGUGGACAGGAAAGUCAGUGGUGAAAUCUUCGAGCUUAACUCGGAAACUGCCAUUGAUACUAUUUGUCUUGAAUACUUUGGAGGUAAGCGUAAUAUGUCAUGUAGCGGUGAAAUGCUUAGAUAUGACAUAGAACACCAAUUGCGAAUGCAGCUUACUACACGGUUAUUGACACUUAGGCACGAAAGCGUGGGGAUCCAACAGG